AUCAACCCAUUUCUCAUUCAUAUGGCCGGCCAUAGCAAGAACAAAGGGAGAAAAGAAAGAACAAGAACCCUAGGGUGAAAAUUCAAGAGAAAAAUUGAUGGAUUUCAAGUAAUCAAGCAAUCAAAGGUAAAAUUUCUUGAUUUUGACUUGUGAUCUACCUUUCCCAUGCAUUCUUUUGCAUUUUUCAUGGUUGAGAAUCAAGUUUUCAUGAUGAAUCCCUUGUUGUCUGAACACCUAGGAGAGAGAAUUUGAUGAUGAUUUGGUUAGAUUUUAAUGUAUUUUGGUGUUUUUAGUUAGUUAGUGAUGUGUAGCAUGAAAAGCCAACAAGAAAAAUUCAUUUUCUCUCAUUACCCAUCAUUGGCCGAAUUUUCCUCGUAGAGUGUGGAUGGUAGAUUUGAUUUUAUUUCAAGUGAAUUGGUUAGGAAAUGAUGAAUUAUGGUGAGAAAAUCAAGUAGAAAAAAUCAUGGUGUUGAUUCACCCACCAUGGCCGAAAUUCUCAAGAGAAAACGUGGAGAUGAUUUUGCUAAAUUUUAUGCUAUUUGACUUGUGUUUGAGGAUUUGGAGAAUUGGAAGAAAAAUGGAGUUAAUUGGUGUUGAAUUGGACAUAUUGGCCAAUUAAUCGAGUGAUAGAUCGAAUUAGGCCAAUACCGUAUUAUUUAGGUACACAAUUAAAUUUGUGUAGAACACUGUGUGUAGACAAUAAUCCGAACAAUUUGCAUCCCAUUUCAUACAUUAGUAUAAAGCCUGAAUUGGUUUUAUAACAAUUUAGCACAAUGUAUUAAAUGGCUUAUUGUGCAUUAUGUCUAGGUGGUGAGCAUUCUGGCAAAAGUAAAGAGAUAGUACCGGAGGAUCAAGAAUCGGAGUACAUGGAAUUCGACUCUCGAAAUAGUGAGUAACCUUACUAUCGUCUUAAUUAUCUAAAGUGGUUUUUAUCCGAUUUUGUGAUUUUAUGGAAAAUGAGUUUAAAUGGUAAAUUUUUAUGUUUUAUAAACAAAAUGUGUUUAAACGAAAUGAUUUUAUAAAUUGUCUUGAAAUUGAAUGAUGGCUUUGAAAAUAGAGUAAUUGGAGACCAUUUGAUGUAUUGUGAAUUUAUGUUUCUAAUUGAUUGGCUUAUGAUAAUAUUGGCAUGAAUGGUUGAAUUGGAAAAUGUGUUGAAAAUGUAUGAAUUGUUGAUGUGCCUUGAAAGGCUAUAAAAUAAAAUAAUUGUCAUAUCAUGUUAUUAAAUUUUAUUGAUUGGUGGGAUAAUUAUUAGCUUACUGCAGUAGACAAGUUCUGUGGACCAACCUAUUAGAAGGGCACGGAAUCUCGUUAUAUUUUACCUCGGUUGGAGAGGUGAGUAGAGUAACUCCCAAGGUAUAACUUUUAGAGUUCACUUCACGCCAAACCACCACGUGAGGGGGAACUCAGCCAACGCCAAGGAACGGCUAUGUUUUCAAAAUAAAAACAUGAUUUAUGCGUAAGUAACUUUUUAAUAGCCUUGGCGGACUCGGUUGGGAUAGCCCACGAUCAAGGCAUCCCUAAUAAUUGGGUAUGAGAAUGAUUUUGGCACGAGCCAAAGUUUUAAGAAAUUCGUAAGCCAUGUUGAUUACUCAAUUUAUAUGAAUUGAUUUUAUUUGGUUGAAAUGAGUUGAAAGGUUAUAAAUUACAAUAUGAUGAUUUAUUUUAUCUGUUUCCAUUUACUCGACUUUAGAUAUUUUAGAUGGUAUUUGUUUACUCACUGGGAUUAUAUAAUCUCACCACCCUCCUUUCCACCCCUUUCAGGCUCAAGAUAGUCGGUAGAUAGCUCAUUUCGUUGAGGGCUACAAUUGGACUUGCAUUCUCAAAAAUUAUAGGUUCACAGUCUUUCUUACUUUUGGUUAUUUGUGGGCCCACAUGUCACUGUAAAUUAAAUUAUAUUUUGGUUAUCUGUAUUACAAUAUGUAUGAAUUUAUUUAGUUUUUACGCUACAAAAAUUAUUUACCAGUAACUCUUUAAAUAUUGUUUGAUAAGAAAUAGAAUGUUUUAUUGAAUAUUUUUAUUAUAUUCAAAUUGUCAUAAUUUCAUUUUUAAAUGAAGGUUUCAG
rnacentral:lncRNA from 1 species